UACGUAGGGAGCAAGCGUUGUCCGGAAUCAUUGGGCGUAAAGCGCGCGUAGGCGGCCCUGUAAGUCCGUUGUGAAAGUCAAAGGCUCAACCUUUGAAAGCCGAUGGAUACUGCAGGGCUAGAGUCCGGAAGAGGCGAGUGGAAUUCCUGGUGUAGCGGUGGAAUGCGCAGAUAUCGGGAGGAACACCAAUAGCGAAGGCAGCUCGCUGGGACGGUACUGACGCUAAGGCGCGAAAGCGUCGGGAGCGAACAGG
rnacentral:rRNA from 1 species